UCGAGGAUCUUCGUCAAUGGGCGAAAGCCUGAACGAGCGACGCCGCGUGCGCGAUGAAGGCCUUCGGGUUGUAAAGCGCGAAAGUGGGGACGAAGCCGAAAGGUUGACCGAUCCACAGUAAGCUCGGGCUAAGUUCGUGCCAGCAGCCGCGGUAAGACGAACCGAGCGAACGUUGUUCGGAAUCACUGGGCUUAAAGGGCGCGUAGGCGGGCAAUCAAGUCUGUGGUGAAAUCCGGCAGCUCAACUGUCGAAUUGCCGUGGAUACUGGUUGUCUCGAGGGAGGCAGGGGUGCGCGGAACUGAUGGUGGAGCGGUGAAAUGCGUUGAUAUCAUCAGGAACUCCGGUGGCGAAGGCGGCGCACUGGUCCUCUUCUGACGCUGAGGCGCGAAAGCCAGGGGAGCAAACGGGAUUAGAUACCCCCGUAGUCC
rnacentral:rRNA from 1 species